rnacentral:tRNA from 2 species
GUGUAUAUAUUAUAAUUUUAUUAUAUUUGAUUUGCUAUCAUAAGAUUUUUAUGCACU